AUUGAACGCUGGCGGCAGGCCUAACACAUGCAAGUCGAGCGAGCGGCGGACGGGUGAGUAAUGUAUGGGGACUGCCCGAUAGAGGGGGAUAACUACUGGAAACGGUGGCUAAUACCGCAUACUAUCGGAUAACCCAUAUGGGAUUAGCUAGUAGGUGGGGUAAAGGCUCACCAAGGCGACGAUCUCUAGCUGAUCUGAGAGGAUGAUCAGCCACACUGGGACUGAGACACGGCCCAGACUCCUACGGAGGCAGCAGUGGGGAAUCUUGCACAAUGGGCGCAAGCCUGAUGCAGCCAUGCCGCGUGAAUGAAGAAGGUCUUAGGGUCGUAAAGUUCUUUUGGAGGGGAGGCGUUACCCGAAGAGGAAGCACCGGCUAACUCCGUGCCAGCAGCCGCGGUAAUUC
rnacentral:rRNA from 1 species